GAUGAAGAACGCAGCAAAAUGCGAUAAGUAAUGUGAAUUGCAGAAUUCAGUGAAUCAUCGAAUCUUUGAACGCGCAUUGCGCCCGCUGGUAUUCCGGCGGGCAUGCCUGUUCGAGCGUCAUUUCAACCCUCAAGCCCCCGGGUUUGGUGUUGGGGAUCGGCUCUGCCUUACGGCGGUGCCGCCCCCGAAAUACAUUGGCGGUCUCGCUGCAGCCUCCAUUGCGUAGUAGCUAACACCUCGCAACUGGAACGCGGCGCGGCCAUGCCGUAAAACCCCAACUUCUGAAUGUUGACCUCGGAUCAGGUAGGAAUACCCGCUGAACUUAAGCAUAUCAAUAAGCGGAGGA
rnacentral:misc_RNA from 1 species